rnacentral:rRNA from 1 species
UGAGCAAUCUGCCCUUCUCUUCGGAAUAAGCGUUGGAAACGACGUCUAAUGCCGAAUACGACCUCCUUUCGCAUGAUCGGAGGUGGAAAGCUCCGGCGGAGAAGGAUGAGCUCGCGGCCUAUCAGCUAGUUGGUGUGGGUAAUGGCCCACCAAGGCGACGACGGGUAGCCGGCCUGAGAGGGUGACCGGCCACACUGGGACUGAGACACGGCCCAGACCUCCGUACGGGGAGGNAG